CCUCAUGGCCCUUAUAGGUGGGGCUACACACGUCAUACAAUGGCCGGUACAAAGGGCAGCAAACCCGCGAGGGGGAGCCAAUCCAUCAAAGCCGGUCGUAGUCCGGAUCGCAGUCUGCAACUCGACUGCGUGAAGUCGGAAUCGCUAGUAAUCGUGGAUCAGCAUGUCACGGUGAAUACGUUCCCGGGUCUU
rnacentral:rRNA from 1 species